AUUGAACGCUGGCGGCAUGCCUUACACAUGCAAGUCGAACGGCAGCACGGGAGCAAUCCUGGUGGCGAGUGGCGAACGGGUGAGUAAUAUAUCGGAACGUGCCCAGUCGUGGGGGAUAACGCAGCGAAAGCUGUGCUAAUACCGCAUACGAUCUACGGAUGAAAGCGGGGGAUCGCAAGACCUCGCGCGAUUGGAGUGGCCGAUAUCAGAUUAGGUAGUUGGUGGGGUAAAGGCCUACCAAGCCGACGAUCUGUAGCUGGUCUGAGAGGACGACCAGCCACACUGGGACUGAGACACGGCCCAGACUCCUACGGGAGGCAGCAGUGGGGAAUUUUGGACAAUGGGCGCAAGCCUGAUCCAGCCAUUCCGCGUGCAGGAAGAAGGCCUUCGGGUUGUAAACUGCUUUUGUACGGAACGAAACGCGCUGAGCUAAUACCUCGGCGUAAUGACGGUACCGUAAGAAUAAGCACCGGCUAACUACGUGCCAGCAGCCGCCGUAAUAC
rnacentral:rRNA from 1 species